rnacentral:rRNA from 1 species
AUGGGGAUAUCCUUCCGAAAGGAGGGGCAAUACCGAAUAUUGUCCGGAGCCGUGAAGGGUUCCGGGGAAAGGGAGGCCUCUGAUACAAGCUUUCGCCUUAAGAUGAGCCCAUGGCCCAUCAGCUAGUUGGUAGGGUAAAGGCCUACCAAGGCUACGACGGGUCGCUGGUCUGAGAGGACGACCAGCCACACUGGCACUGAGAUACGGGCCAGACUCCUACGGGAGGCAGCAGUGAGGAAUAUUGCGCAAUGGGGGAAACCCUGACGCAGCAACGCCGCGUGUGGGAAGAAGGCCUUCGGGUCGUAAACCACUUUUACUCGGGACGAAAAAGGGAUAUCAAAUAAAUAUCCCGAUGACGGUACCGUGAGAAUAAGCCACGGCU